rnacentral:rRNA from 1 species
UUUGAAGUAUAACCUGCCCCCUGAGUUUUUAAAUGGCCGCGGUAAUCUGACCGUGCAAAGGUAGCAUAAUAACUAGUUUUUUAAUUGAUAGCUGGAAUGAAAGGUUGGACGAGGGAAAGACUGUCUCUGUUUAAUUUAAUUAGAAUUUUAUUUUUAAGUAAAAAAGCUUAAAUGAAUUUGAAAGACGAGAAGACCCUAUAGAAUUUUAUAUUAAUUUUAAUGUUGGGAUAUGAGGAAUUUUUGAUUUUAACAUUAUUAGAAAUAUUUUAUUGGGGCGAUAGAAAAAUUAAAGUAACUUUUUUUAAAUUUGACCAUUAAUUUAUGAGUAAAUGAUCCAUUAUUUAUGAUUAUAAGAUUAAAUUACCUUAGGGAUAACAGCGUAAUUCUUUUUAAGAGUUCUUAUCGAAAAAAGGGAUUGCGACCUCGAUGUUGGAUUAAAAU